rnacentral:rRNA from 1 species
UAUUGGACAAUGGGGGAAACCCUGAUCCAGCAAUGCCGCGUGUGUGAUGAAGGCCUUCGGGUUGUAAAGCACUUUUGUCAGGGACGAUGAUGACGGUACCUGACGAAUAAGCUCCGGCUAACUUCGUGCCAGCAGCCGCGGUAAUACGAGGGGAGCUAGCGUUGUUCGGAAUUACUGGGCGUAAAGGGCGUGUAGGCGGUACCAUAAGUCAGAUGUGAAAGCCCUAGGCUUAACCUAGGAGGUGCAUUUGAUACUGUGGAAAUAGAGAUCGAGAGAGGUAAGUGGAAUUACGAGUGUAGAGGUGAAAUUCGUAGAUAUUCGUAAGAACACCAGUGGCGAAGGCGACUUACGGCUCGAUACUGACGCAAGGCGCGAAA